CAUGAAGUUGGAAUCGCUAGUAAUCGCGGAUCAGCAUGCCGCGGUGAAUACGUUCCCGGGCCUUGUACACACCGCCCGUCACACCAUGAGAGUCGGGAACACCCGAAGUCCGUAGCCUAACCGCAAGGGGGCGCGGCCGAAGGUGGGUUCGAUAAUUGGGGUGAAGUCGUAACAAGGUAUC
rnacentral:rRNA from 1 species